GUGCUGCGGGAGCGGCUGCAACACCUGUGCCUGAGGAGCGAUGCCGAGGGAAAUCAUCACCCUACAGUUGGGCCAGUGCAGCAAUCAGAUUGGGUUUGAGUUCUAGAAACAGCUGUGCACUGAGCAUGGUAUCAGCCCCGAGGGCAUCGUGGAGGAGUUCACCACCGAGGGCACUGACCGCAAGGAUGUCCUUUUCUACCAGGCAGACGACGAGCACUACAUCCCCCGGGCUGUGCUGCUGGACCUGGAGCCCCGGGUGAUCCACUCCAUCCUCAACUCCCCCUAUGCCAAGCUCUACAACCCAGAGAACAUCCACCUGUCGGAGCAUGGAGGAGGAGCUGGCAACAACUGGGCCAGUGGAUUCUCCCAGGGAGAGAAGAUCCACGAGGACGUUUUUGACAUCAUAGACCGGGAGGCAGAUGGUAGUGACAGUCUAGAGGGCUUUGUGCUGUGUCACUCCAUUGCUGGGGGGACAGGCUCUGGCCUGGGCUCCUACCUCUUAGAACGGCUGAAUGACAGGUAUCCAAAGAAACUGGUGCAGACAUACUCAGUGUUUCCCAACCAGAACGAGAUGAGCAACGUGGUGGUCCAGCCUUACAAUUCACUCCUCACACUCAAGGGGCUGACGCAGAACGCAGACUGUGGUGGUGCUAGACAACACAGCCCUGAACCGGAUUGCCACAGACCACCUGCACAUCCAGAACCCGUCCUUCUCCCAGAUCAACCAGCUGGUGUCCACCAUCAUGUCGGCCAGCACCACCAUCCUGCGCUACCCCGGCUACAUGAACAAUGACCUCAUUGGCCUCAUCGCCUCACUCAUCCCCACUCCGCGGCUCCACUUCCUCAUGACCGGCUAUACCCCACUCACUACGGACCAGUCAGUGGCCAGCGUGAGAAAGACCACGGUCCUGGAUGUCAUGAGGCGGCUCCUGCAGCCCAAGAAUGUGAUGGUGUCCACAGGCCGAGACCGCCAGACCAACCACUGCUACAUCGCCAUCCUCAACAUCAUCCAGGGAGAGGUGGACCCCACCCAGGUCCACAAGAGCCUGCAGAGAAUCCAGGAACGGAAGUUGGCCAACUUCAUCCCAUGGGGCCCCGCCAGCAUCCAGGUGGCCCUGUCAAGAAAGUCUCCCUACCUGCCCUCAGCCCACCGGGUCAGCGGGCUCAUGAUGGCCAACCACACCAGCAUCUCCUCGCUCUUUGAGAGAACCUGUCGCCAAUAUGACAAGUUGCGGAAGCGGCAGGCCUUCCUCCAGCAGUUCCGCAAGGAGGACAUGUUCAAGGAAAACUUUGAUGAGAUGGACACAUCCAGGGAGAUUGUGCAGCAGCUCAUUGAUGAGUACUAUGCAGCCACACGGCCAGACUACAUCUCCUGGGGCACCUAGGAGCAGUGA